AAAACAUAGCUUAAAUAAAGCAUCUAGUUUACACCUAGAAGAUUUCGGACCCACGAAUGUUUUGA
rnacentral:tRNA from 1 species